rfam:Nematostella vectensis strain CH2 x CH6 NEMVEscaffold_423_Cont26810, whole genome shotgun sequence.
GCCCUGAUCGUAUAGUGGUUAGUACAUUACGUUGUGGCCGCAAUAACCCAGGUUUGAAUCCUUGUCACUGCA